UACGUAGGUGGCAAGCGUUGUCCGGAUUUAUUGGGUUUAAAGGGUGCGUAGGUGGUCUAUUAAGUCAGUGCUGAAAUAUCCCGGCUUAACCGGGAGGGUGGCAUUGAUACUGAUUGACUUGAGUAGAGUUGAGGUAGGCGGAAUUGACGGUGUAGCGGUGAAAUGCUUAGAUAUCGUCAAGAACACCGAUAGCGAAGGCAGCUUACUAAGCUCAAACUGACACUGAUGCACGAAAGUGUGGGGAUCAAACAGG
rnacentral:rRNA from 1 species